CUGUGCCUGGCUCCCUGUAUGCCACUCGUGUGGGCGCCAAUCUAUCGAGACUGGCGACUGCGGCUGGCGUGCGAGGAGCCAAGCAUAU
rnacentral:pre_miRNA from 1 species